rnacentral:rRNA from 1 species
UGGGGAAUAUUGCACAAUGGGCGAAAGCCUGAUGCAGCAACGCCGCGUGAGUGAUGAAGGUCUUCGGAUUGUAAAGCUCUGUCUUUUGGGACGAUAACGACGGUACCAAAGGAGGAAGCCACGGCUAACUACGUGCCAGCAGCCGCGGUAAUACGUAGGUGGCGAGCGUUGUCCGGAUUUACUGGGCGUAAAGGGUGCGUAGGCGGAUGUUUAAGUGAGAUGUGAAAUACCCGGGCUUAACUUGGGUGCUGCAUUUCAAACUGGAUAUCUAGAGUGCAGGAGAGGAGAAUGGAAUUCCUAGUGUAGCGGUGAAAUGCGUAGAGAUUAGGAAGAACACCAGUGGCGAAGGCGAUUCUCUGGACUGUAACUGACGCUGAGGCACGAAAGCGUGGGUAGCAAACAGGAUUAGAUACCCUGGUAGUCCACGCCGUAAACGAUGAGUACUAGGUGUAGGAGGUAUCGACCCCU